AGAGUUUGAUCAUGGCUCAGGACGAACGCUGGCGGCGUGCCUAACACAUGCAAGUCGAGCGGAGACAGUGAGUAGCUUGCUAUGAGCUGUUUUAGCGGCGGACGGGUGAGUAACGCGUGAGCAACCUUUCCCAGACAGGGGAAUAACACACCGAAAGGUGUACUAAUACCGCAUAAGACCACGGAAUCACAUGGUUCUGAGGUAAAAGAUUUUAUCGGGUUUGGGGUGGGCUCGCGUCCGACUAGGUAGUUGGUG
rnacentral:rRNA from 1 species